rnacentral:rRNA from 1 species
AAUCAACGCUGGCGGCGUGCCUCAGACAUGCAAGUCGAACGAUUAAAGCUCCCUUCGGGGAGUGCAUAAAGUGGCGCACGGGUGAGUAACACGUAAGUGAUCUACCCUCGGGUGGGGAAUAACAUCGGGAAACCGAUGCUAAUACCGCAUAAUGCAGCGGCACCGCAAGGUGACAGUUGUUAAAGAUUUAUUGCCUGGGGAGGAGCUUGCGGCAGAUUAGCUUGUUGGAAGGUAACGGCUUACCAAGGCUACGAUCUGUAUCCGGUCUAAGAGGACGGUCGGACACACUGACACUGAAUAACGGGUCAGACUCCUACGGGAGGCAGCAGUCGGGAAUUUUGGGCAAUGGGGGAAACCCUGACCCAGCAACGCCGCGUGAAGGAUGAAGUAUUUCGGUAUGUAAACUUCGAAAGAAUAGGAAGAAUUAAUGACGGUACUAUUUAUAAGGUCCGG